rnacentral:rRNA from 1 species
GACGAACGCUGGCGGCGUGCUUAAUACAUGCAAGUCGAACGCAGUGGGGACGGGUGCGUAACACGUGGGUAACCUCCCAUCAGAGGGGAUAACACUUGGAAACAGCUGCUAAACCGAUACUGAUGGAUGAACCCGCGGUGCAUUAGCUAGUUGGUGAGGUAAAGGCUCACCAAGGCCACGAUGCAUAGCCGAACUGUGAGGGUGAUCGGCCACACGGGGAGUGAGACACGGCCCAGACUCCUACGGGAGGCAGCAGUAGGGAAUCUUCGGCAAUGGACGCAAGGUUGACCGAGCAAAGCCGCGGGAGUGAAGAAGAUUUUCGGAUCGUAAAAAUCUUUUGUUAGAGAAGCGGUAUCUAAACAGAAAGCCACGGCUAACUACGUGCCAGCAGCCGCGGUAAUUC